rnacentral:rRNA from 1 species
ACUGCUCAGUAACACGUGGAUAACAUGCCCUAAGGUGGGGGAUAAUCUCGGGAAACUGAGGGUAAUACCCCAUAGGUCUAUUUUGCUGGAAUGCUAAUAGGCCGAAAACUCCGGUGCCUUAGGAUUGGUCUGCGGUCUACCAGGCUGUAGUGGGUGUAAUGGACCCACUAGCCCGUGACGGAUAUGGGCCUUGAGAGAGGGAGCCCAGAGAUGGACUCUGAGACAUGAGUCCAGGCCCUACGGGGCGCAGCAGUCGCGAAAACUUCGCAAUGGGGGCAACCCCGACGAGGGAAUUCCAAGUGCUAGCACUUUGUGUUAGCUGUUCUCCUGUCUAAAAAACAGGAGGAGUAAGGGGCGGGUAAGACGGGUGCCAGCCGCCGCGGUAAUACCCGCGCCCCAAGUGGUGGUCGAUAUUAUUGAGCCUAAAACGUCCGUAGCCGGUCUUCUAAAUCCUUGGGUAAAUCGGGCAGCUUAACUGUCCGAAGUCCGGGGAGACUGGGAGACUUGGGACCGGGAGAGGUCAGAGGUACUUCUGGGGUAGGGGUAAAAUCCUGUAAUCCUUGAAGGACCACCAGUGGCGAAGGCGUCUCACCAGAACGGACCUGACGGCAAGGGACGAAAGCUAGGGGCACGAACCGGAUUAGAUACCCGGGUAGUCCUAGCCGUAAACGAUACUCGCUAGGUGUCGGCCACGGUGCGACCGUUGUCGGUGCCGUAGGGAAGCCGUGAAGCGAGCCACCUGGGAAGUACGGCCGCAAGGCUGAAACUUAAAGGAAUUGGCGGGGGAGCAC